rnacentral:lncRNA from 1 species
CUCUACAUCAUCUAAUUUACUGUAACGUUUAGGUCGAGACCAGUGGCGCGUAUUCAUGGAUGCCAAGGGAAAAAAAUUGACCAAGAAAAAAUGUUUAUCUUUCAUCUCUCUAUGUUUCAUAAUUUUCCUUCAAUUGGCAAGAGGCUGAAUGUAUCUCACAGAAGAAAGCAUUAGAGCGGGUGAAACAGAGCCACUCUGUCUCCCUACGUGUAGACAAUCUAUCUGAUGUUCUAUGGUCCAAACGAGUAUGACAUUGUUGCCGCCCGUAGCAUUGAAGGCAAGGGAAGCCAGCGAACAUCUGGCCUCCCUUAACAAAAACAGUAUAACAAUUUGUCAAUUGGCAUUGAGCUAAAUUGAGCGAGCUCAACUGUGAAUGGUUCUGGCGCACCAAAAAAAAGUGUCAUGGGAAGACAACUUGGAUUAGGUCAUUGACAGAAAAACUUGAAUUGUUGCAUCUCGUUGUGUUGUUGUCCUCCGGUGGCUAGCUAGCUAAAAUUGGCCCUUUCCUAAAUUAGCCUUGUAUGAAGAUAGGGAUUUGGACUUGUCGGGUUUACUUAAUUCUCCACACUGACCAAUGAUUAUAAUGGCGAUUCUGAUCCAACCAUUAAUACAUUGUUGUGUCCUUGGCUUGAGAGGAUGGAAGUUCAAUAUGUAGCUAGAUGUAGAAGGCUAAUGUUAACUAGCUAACGUUGCCCAUAAAUGGAAGUUAGGCUAGCGAACAAGCAUGUUAGCCAGGUAGCCUAGGACAACAAAAAAUAAAAGCGUAUACAGUAUGACAGACUAACAGACCGUUUUGUCAACAUGACAGAGAGGAGGAUGGCAUUGGCGUUUCUCUACAAGCAGGAGCCCUGGUCAAAAGUAGUGCACUAUGUAGGGAAUUGGGUGCCAUUUGAGAUGGAGCCAGAGAAACUACUGCUGCACAUUGAUAACGAGCCAAGGACUCUGGAAGGAAGUGAGGCGCACAUCAAAUGCAUCCUGUGUCUCAGAACAUCCUGCCUGGCAGCCAGUCAACCUCCUACCCUCUAUAGUCUACAACCUCUGUCACACACUCACAAGUCAAUGUCACUGAAACGUAGAUUGCAUAAUUGUUUCGUUCCCUAUGACUUCAGUCAGUUGUCAGAUGCCCCUGCAAAAACAAUGAUGAAUGGUCCAAAAUAAUUAGUAUUGAAAAUAGUGAUUUGAAGUCACACUAACAUUUCUAUGCCGUAGCUGUAGCUCCGUAGCCCGAACCCAUCUUAAACAUCAAUGCAAGGCCACCGCCUGAGGUCACAGUGAAUUAAUUUCAACAUCAACAAACACCCUUUUAAAUUCCCUCAUACAGUAGACAGACACAAAUCAACACCCAAGCUGCAUCCCUAUUCCCUACAUAUGACACUAAUUUUGACCAGAAGCCUAAGGGCCCAGGUCAGAAGUAGUGCACUAUAGGGAA